UUGAUUACGAUACACCUAACAAUUUGAGUCAUUACAGUAAAACAUGGAUUAUAAGUGAAUUAUACGCGUAGGAGAAGAUUUUCUGUCGAAAAAACGAAUGUCAACAAUCGGCAUGGAACUGGGAUAUUCGUAUCAAAGGGCUAUGUAUGUAGGAAAAUGACUGAAUAUUACUAAGUCAACAAAUUGGGGUUAUGAAGAAUUCCAGCCUGCAUUAAAUACUAUGUUGGAUCAUUGAGACAGAUUUGACAUCCAUGUCUAUCCACAAGCCAGUCACAUCUGAUAGAGAUGAUCACUAAACAUUCUAGGUGGGUAAAGAACCUGAAGGGGCAUGAAAACCAAAUCAGCAUUGACUCAGCAUUGAGUAAUUAUCUUCUGUGCACACACUACAAGUACAAACGCAUGGGAACAGACCAAGCUUCAAAUGUUGAAGAGUGAAGACUUAUUGCGAAAAAUUCUAAAUGUAAGAAUACUAUUGACAAAAUAAAACAAAUAGACAUCGAUUACCUACAGAGACUGUU